rnacentral:rRNA from 1 species
AUGGAGAGGAGGGAUUGGACCAACUGUGGGCUUUGCACUAUUUGUUAGAGAGUUAAUGAGACAACACUUCAUCUGUUUUUCAAAUGUCACUACACUAUGAGAGUUUCGAGAUUGAUCAAGGAUUGGCUAGGUUUUGACCCUAUCUAGCCUGGCCAAUGGGCGGGAGUACACUUUGUUAAGGACUGGUGGAACAAUAUGUCGGGACCGAAUACCACAAAUCAGAAGGGGAUGGCCUCUCUCACCAUGCUAGUGAGUUGGAUGAUAUGGAAUGAAUGUAAUGCUAGAGUUUUGAGGAAAAAAUCAACGCCACCAUUCUACAUCAUGAGGCAGCAUGAGGCCAAGCUUUCGGUCAUGGCGGGGCUAAGCACAUGA